rnacentral:rRNA from 1 species
CCUACGUGGGGCAGCAGUGGGGAAUAUUGCGCAAUGGGCGAAAGCCUGACGCAGCGACGCCGCGUGAGGGAUGAAGGUCUUCGGAUCGUAAACCUCUGUCAGCAGGGAAGAACGGUCACUGUGCUAAUCAGCAGUGAAUUGACGGUACCUGCAAAGGAAGCACCGGCUAACUCCGUGCCAGCAGCCGCGGUAAUACGGAGGGUGCGAGCGUUAAUCGGAAUUACUGGGCGUAAAGCGCUCGUAGGCGGUAUGUCAAGUCAAGGGUGAAAUCCCCGCGCUCAACGUGGGAACUGCCUUUGAAACUGGCAAACUGGAGUGUGUGAGAGGAUAGUGGAAUUCCAGGUGUAGGAGUGAAAUCCGUAGAGAUCUGGAGGAACAUCAGUGGCGAAGGCGACUAUCUGGCACAUAACUGACCCUGAGGAGCGAAAGCGUGGGUAGCAAACAGGAUUAGAUACCCCUGUAGUC